GAUCCUGGCUCAGGAUGAACGCUAGCGGCAGGCUUAACACAUGCAAGUCGCGGGGCAGCGGGGAGUAGCAAUACUCUGCCGGCGACCGGCGGAAGGGUGCGUAACACGUGAGCAACUUGCCCGUAUCAGGGGGAUAACCGAUGGAAACGUCGCCUAAUACCCCAUAACAACGUAUGUUGCAUGACAUAUGUUUGAAAGCUCCGGCGGAUACGGAUAGGCUCGCGGGACAUUAGCUAGUUGG
rnacentral:rRNA from 1 species